GACGAACGCUGGCGGCGUGCUUAUCACAUGCAAGUCGAACGGAAAGGCCCUGCUUUUGUGGGGUGCUCGAGUGGCGAACGGGUGAGUAACACGUGAGUAACCUGCCCUCGACUUUGGGAUAACUUCAGGAAACUGGUGCUAAUACCGGAUAGGAGCUCCUGCUGCAUGGUGGGGGUUGGAAAGUUUCGGCGGUUGGGGAUGGACUCGCGGCUUAUCAGCUUGUUGGUGGGGUAGUGGCUUACCAAGGCUUUGACGGGUAGCCGGCCUGAGAGGGUGACCGGCCACAUUGGGACUGAGAUACGGCCCAGACGCCUACGGGAGGCAGCAGUGGGGAAUAUUACACAAUGGGCGGAAGCCUGAUGCAGCAACGCCGCGUGCGGGAUAACGGCCUUCGGGUUGUAAACCGCUUUCGCCUGUGACGAAGCGUGAGUGACGGUAAUGGGUAAAGAAGCACAGGCGAACUACGU
rnacentral:rRNA from 1 species